CGAAAGCCUGACGGAGCAAUACCGCGUGAGGGAGGAAGGCUCUUGGGUCGUAAACCUCUUUUGUCAGGGAAGAACACAAUGACGGUACCUGACGAAUCAGCCUCGGCUAACUCCGUGCCAGCAGCCGCGGUAAUACGGAGGAGGCAAGCGUUAUCCGGAAUUAUUGGGCGUAAAGCGUCCGCAGGUGGCAAUUCAAGUCUGCUGUCAAAGCACGGGGCUUAACUCCGUAAAGGCAGUGGAAACUGAAUAGCUAGAGUGCCGUAGGGGUAGAGGGAAUUCCCGGUGUAGCGGUGAAAUGCGUAGAUAUCGGGAAGAACAUCGGUGGCGAAGGCGCUCUACUGGACUGCAACUGACACUCAGGGACGAAAGCUAGGGGAGCG
rnacentral:rRNA from 1 species